GACGAACGCUGGCGGCGUGCUUAACACAUGCAAGUCGAACGGUGAAGCGCUUGCCUUUUUGGUGGGUGUGGAUGAGUGGCGAACGGGUGAGUAACACGUGAGUAACCUGCCCUCUUCUUCUGGAUAACCUCAUGAAAGUGGGGCUAAUACGGGGUAUUCCGGGUCUGUCGCAUGGCGGGUUUGGGAAAGAUUGCGCCUUUGGGUGUUUUCGGUGGGGGAUGGGCUCGCGGCCUAUCAGCUUGUUGGUGGGGUGAUGGCCUACCAAGGCGGUGACGGGUAGCCGGCCUGAGAGGGUGGACGGCCACACUGGGACUGAGACACGGCCCAGACUCCUGCGGGAGGCAGCGGUGGGGAAUAUUGCACAAUGGGCGCAAGCCUGAUGCAGCGACGCCGCGUGAGGGAUGGAGGCCUUCGGGUUGUGAACCUCUUUCGCCAGUGAAGCAGGCCUGCUCCUGUGUGGGUGGGUUGACGGUAGCUGGAUAAGAAGCGCCGGCUAACUACGUG
rnacentral:rRNA from 1 species